rnacentral:rRNA from 1 species
UACGUAGGGUGCGAGCGUUAAUCGGAAUUACUGGGCGUAAAGCGUGCGCAGGCGGUUCGUUGUGUCGGUGGUGAAAGCCCCGGGCUUAACCUGGGAAUGGCCAUGGAAACUGGCGGGCUGGAGUAUGGCAGAGGGGGGUGGAAUUCCGCGUGUAGCAGUGAAAUGCGUAGAGAUGCGGAGGAACACCGAUGGCGAAGGCAGCCCCCUGGGCCAAUACUGACGCUCAGGCACGAAAGCGUGGGGAGCAAACAGG